GAGCCUCCAAAAAAACAAAAAAGGGGAUUUAUUAAGCCAGCUACACCUAUGCCGAAAAUAUGUGACGAAACGAAAUCCAGCAACUGUAACACACCCAAUUUAUCAAAUACAGUGCUCGAACAUCAUCCAGAAAUUG